GACGAACGCUGGCGGCGUGCUUAACACAUGCCAGUCGAACGGAAAGGCCCUGCUUUUGUGGGGUGCUCGAGUGGCGAACGGGUGAGUAACACGUGAGUAACCUGCCCUUGACUUUGGGAUGACUUCAGGAAACUGGGGCUAAUACCGGAUAGGAGCUCCUGCUGCAUGGUGGGGGUUGGAAAGUUUCGGCGGUUGGGGAUGGACUCGCGGCUUAUCAGCUUGUUGGUGGGGUAGUGGCUUACCAAGGCUUUGACGGGUAGCCGGCCUGAGAGGGUGACCGGCCACAUUGGGACUGAGAUACGGCCCAGACUCCUACGGGAGGCAGCAGUGGGGAAUAUUGCACAAUGGGCGGAAGCCUGAUGCAGCAACGCCGCGUGCGGGAUGACGGCCUUCGGGUUGUAAACCGCUUUCGCCUGUGACGAAGCGUGAGUGACGGUAAUGGGUAAAGAGGCACCGGCUAACUACGUG
rnacentral:rRNA from 1 species